GGGUUGUGAGGUUAAGCGACUAAGCGUACACGGUGGAUGCCCUGGCAGUCAGAGGCGAUGAAGGACGUGCUAAUCUGCGAUAAGCGUCGGUAAGGUGAUAUGAACCGUUAUAACCGGCGAUUUCCGAAUGGGGAAACCCAGUGUGUUUCGACACACUAUCAUUAACUGAAUCCAUAGGUUAAUGAGGCGAACCGGGGGAACUGAAACAUCUAAGUACCCCGAGGAAAAGAAAUCAACCGAGAUUCCCCCAGUAGCGGCGAGCGAACGGGGAGGAGCCCAGAGCCUGAAUCAGUGUGUGUGUUAGUGGAAGCGUCUGGAAAGGCGCGCGAUACAGGGUGACAGCCCCGUACACAAAAAUGCACAUACUGUGAGCUCGAUGAGUAGGGCGGGACACGUGGUAUCCUGUCUGAAUAUGGGGGGACCAUCCUCCAAGGCUAAAUACUCCUGACUGACCGAUAGUGAACCAGUACCGUGAGGGAAAGGCGAAAAGAACCCCGGCGAGGGGAGUGAAAAAGAACCUGAAACCGUGUACGUACAAGCAGUGGGAGCACGCUUAGGCGUGUGACUGCGUACCUUUUGUAUAAUGGGUCAGCGACUUAUAUUCUGUAGCAAGGUUAACCGAAUAGGGGAGCCGAAGGGAAACCGAGUCUUAACUGGGCGUUAAGUUGCAGGGUAUAGACCCGAAACCCGGUGAUCUAGCCAUGGGCAGGUUGAAGGUUGGGUAACACUAACUGGAGGACCGAACCGACUAAUGUUGAAAAAUUAGCGGAUGACUUGUGGCUGGGGGUGAAAGGCCAAUCAAACCGGGAGAUAGCUGGUUCUCCCCGAAAGCUAUUUAGGUAGCGCCUCGUGAAUUCAUCUCCGGGGGUAGAGCACUGUUUCGGCAAGGGGGUCAUCCCGACUUACCAACCCGAUGCAAACUGCGAAUACCGGAGAAUGUUAUCACGGGAGACACACGGCGGGUGCUAACGUCCGUCGUGAAGAGGGAAACAACCCAGACCGCCAGCUAAGGUCCCAAAGUCAUGGUUAAGUGGGAAACGAUGUGGGAAGGCCCAGACAGCCAGGAUGUUGGCUUAGAAGCAGCCAUCAUUUAAAGAAAGCGUAAUAGCUCACUGGUCGAGUCGGCCUGCGCGGAAGAUGUAACGGGGCUAAACCAUGCACCGAAGCUGCGGCAGCGACGCUUAUGCGUUGUUGGGUAGGGGAGCGUUCUGUAAGCCUGUGAAGGUGUGCUGUGAGGCAUGCUGGAGGUAUCAGAAGUGCGAAUGCUGACAUAAGUAACGAUAAAGCGGGUGAAAAGCCCGCUCGCCGGAAGACCAAGGGUUCCUGUCCAACGUUAAUCGGGGCAGGGUGAGUCGACCCCUAAGGCGAGGCCGAAAGGCGUAGUCGAUGGGAAACAGGUUAAUAUUCCUGUACUUGGUGUUACUGCGAAGGGGGGACGGAGAAGGCUAUGUUGGCCGGGCGACGGUUGUCCCGGUUUAAGCGUGUAGGCUGGUUUUCCAGGCAAAUCCGGAAAAUCAAGGCUGAGGCGUGAUGACGAGGCACUACGGUGCUGAAGCAACAAAUGCCCUGCUUCCAGGAAAAGCCUCUAAGCAUCAGGUAACAUCAAAUCGUACCCUAAACCGACACAGGUGGUCAGGUAGAGAAUACCAAGGCGCUUGAGAGAACUCGGGUGAAGGAACUAGGCAAAAUGGUGCCGUAACUUCGGGAGAAGGCACGCUGAUAUGUAGGUGAAGCGACUUGCUCGUGGAGCUGAAAUCAGUCGAAGAUACCAGCUGGCUGCAACUGUUUAUUAAAAACACAGCACUGUGCAAACACGAAAGUGGACGUAUACGGUGUGACGCCUGCCCGGUGCCGGAAGGUUAAUUGAUGGGGUCAGCGCAAGCGAAGCUCUUGAUCGAAGCCCCGGUAAACGGCGGCCGUAACUAUAACGGUCCUAAGGUAGCGAAAUUCCUUGUCGGGUAAGUUCCGACCUGCACGAAUGGCGUAAUGAUGGCCAGGCUGUCUCCACCCGAGACUCAGUGAAAUUGAACUCGCUGUGAAGAUGCAGUGUACCCGCGGCAAGACGGAAAGACCCCGUGAACCUUUACUAUAGCUUGACACUGAACAUUGAGCCUUGAUGUGUAGGAUAGGUGGGAGGCUUUGAAGUGUGGACGCCAGUCUGCAUGGAGCCGACCUUGAAAUACCACCCUUUAAUGUUUGAUGUUCUAACGUUGACCCGUAAUCCGGGUUGCGGACAGUGUCUGGUGGGUAGUUUGACUGGGGCGGUCUCCUCCUAAAGAGUAACGGAGGAGCACGAAGGUUGGCUAAUCCUGGUCGGACAUCAGGAGGUUAGUGCAAUGGCAUAAGCCAGCUUGACUGCGAGCGUGACGGCGCGAGCAGGUGCGAAAGCAGGUCAUAGUGAUCCGGUGGUUCUGAAUGGAAGGGCCAUCGCUCAACGGAUAAAAGGUACUCCGGGGAUAACAGGCUGAUACCGCCCAAGAGUUCAUAUCGACGGCGGUGUUUGGCACCUCGAUGUCGGCUCAUCACAUCCUGGGGCUGAAGUAGGUCCCAAGGGUAUGGCUGUUCGCCAUUUAAAGUGGUACGCGAGCUGGGUUUAGAACGUCGUGAGACAGUUCGGUCCCUAUCUGCCGUGGGCGCUGGAGAACUGAGGGGGGCUGCUCCUAGUACGAGAGGACCGGAGUGGACGCAUCACUGGUGUUCGGGUUGUCAUGCCAAUGGCACUGCCCGGUAGCUAAAUGCGGAAGAGAUAAGUGCUGAAAGCAUCUAAGCACGAAACUUGCCCCGAGAUGAGUUCUCCCUGACCCUUUAAGGGUCCUGAAGGAACGUUGAAGACGACGACGUUGAUAGGCCGGGUGUGUAAGCGCAGCGAUGCGUUGAGCUAACCGGUACUAAUGAACCGUGAGGCUUAACCUUACAACGCCGAAG
rnacentral:rRNA from 1 species